rnacentral:rRNA from 1 species
ACAGCAGCAGCCGCGGGAAUACGAAGGGUGCAAGCGUUAAUCGGAAUUACUGGGCGUAAAGCGUGCGUAGGCGGUUAGUUAAGUCUGUUGUGAAAUCCCCGGGCUCAACCUGGGAAUGGCAAUGGAUACUGGCAAGCUAGAGUGUGUCAGAGGAUGGUGGAAUUCCCGGUGUAGCGGUGAAAUGCGUAGAGAUCGGGAGGAACAUCAGUGGCGAAGGCGGCCAUCUGGGACAACACUGACGCUGAGGCACGAAAGCGUGGGGAGCAAACAGGAUUAGAUACCCCUGUAGUCCCUGUCUCUUAUAA